rnacentral:lncRNA from 1 species
ACGAAGUAUUAUAGUCACGUGAUACAUCCCCUGCGUCAGGAAGUGGUCCGACGUGAUAAACCGAACGGUCCGGCCGGAGGACAAGGAAGCGUGGAAGAAGAACCGAAGCUUCCGAGGCAACGUUCGCGGGAAGUCUAACCGCUUGAAGCACGUUGCAGAGUCGAGACCAGUUGAGCGGCCGGAAUUUUACGAACGAUUAUGCAAGUGUACGUCUUGAGGACGACCAUGAGCCACAUAUCAUCUCAAAUUUCUGCCCGUCAAGCCUUGUGACGAAACGGAAUCUGACUUCUUCAAGGCGCGGAUCCUAAAGUUGUUUGGAUCGCAGAGUGACGCGGAAACCCAGUGACAGUAAGCGGGUGCUAGUACCUCCGACGAGAUGAGUGACUGCCCGGGAGGGCUGGAGGAAGCUUGUAUGAGACAGAUGGCCUCCUUGGCGAAUUGUAACCGGCAGACCUUCAAACCGCACAAAGGCUAAGCAAAGCCAGAACUGGAUGCAGCAAGACUAAAAGCUUUAUAAUAUACUCUGGCCCGAGCCUGAACCAGGCCAAUCAACGUGCUGGCCCGAACCAGGCCAAUCAACGUGCUGGCCCGAGCCCGGCCCGGGCCCACAGUCAAAAGUCCGAGCCCAUCCCAGGCCUGGGCUUUCGGCUCAGCAAAGUCUGCGGAUCUGGUUAUGCUUCCUGUACGAGACAGAUCACGAAACGGUUGCUGACUGACCAGUUGGGGCGAAAAUUUUUGUGGGAAGGACGUAAGAGAAAGUUGACAUUCAGGAACCUUCACCUUGCUGAGUGCAUCAUAAAUGCAGUGCAGAGCUGCCAUAAAUGUGAAGACUUCAAGGUAGAAACCAUGGUCACG